GCGAAGGUGGCGGAAUUGGUAGACGCGCUAGCUUCAGGUGUUAGUGUUCUUACGGACGUGGGGGUUCAAGUCAACCCCCUCGCACAA
rnacentral:tRNA from 1 species